UUGACCUCGGAUCAGGUAGGAAUACCCGCUGAACUUAAGCAUAUCAAGAGGGGAGGAGGCG
rnacentral:rRNA from 1 species